UUGACCGAUUUCAGAAAAAAAUUUUUUUCCUAGUUGAACUUAAUUUUCUAAGUCCAACUAGGAGAAAAAUUUUUUUCUGAAAUCGGUCA
rnacentral:pre_miRNA from 1 species